UUUAACGAUCUCCUGAUGAAGAGUGUCAAAAUUCUGCUUUUCUGCAGGAACAAGAACAGAUCCUUCCAUUGCCUCCACAUGCUCUGCAACAAGCAACCAAGCAGACUACUUGAGAAAAUACAGAGCAAUUGUCUCCUUGGAGCAACGCCAGCACUACAAGGACGACUUCAAUGCAGAAUAUGAGGAAUAUUGGAAUUUAUAUUUUAAGAUUGACAAGAUCAUCAAGAAAUUCAGACAUUUUCAGGAACAAUGGAAGUCUCUGACUCCAGGCUCCAAAGCUUAUCAGAUGCUGCAUUAUCGAAUCCUAGCAGAUUAUCAGCAGUUACAACAGGGUAGCCCCAGCUACUCUGAAAUGAAGAGUGGGUGCCAGUACCUCCACAAGAAGCUGGCCCAUAUUCAGAGCCGCAUUUCUGAAUUUGACCAGCAGUGAGUGGAGUACUGGCACCAGACAUCGGCUUCAGCAUGGAAGAUCUCUGAAAUCAGGAUUUUUCAUUUCAACUAGAAGAUUAGAUUUUUUAGGAUUCUUUAAAUUAGUACAGAAGAGUAGGUUAUCUUAGCACUGAGCAGUAGGUGAUUUCUUAUAAAUGUAGGAUUAGUUCAAAGAAGUUUAGUAAGUUUAAGUCAAAGUUGAAAGAUGAUAGUAUUGAAAUUUAACAAUAAAGAAAUCUCACUAUUGGUAA